GUGUAAGUUGUUGAGAGCGUAUGGUGGAUGCCUUGGCAUCAGGAGCCGAUGAAGGACGUGGGAAUCUGCGAUAAGCCUGGGGGAGUUGAUAACCGGACGGUGAUCCCAGGAUGUCCGAAUGGGGGAACCCCGCAUGCUGUGAGGUGUGUGACCUGACACUGAAUAUAUAGGUGUUAUGGGGGGAACGAGGGGAAGUGAAACAUCUCAGUACCCUUAGGAAGAGAAAACAAUAGUGAUUCCGUUAGUAGUGGCGAGCGAACGCGGAUGGGGCUAAACCUGUAUCGUGUGAUACCCGGCAGGGGUUGCGGUGCGGGGGUUGUGGGUGUAUGUGUCCAGUUACUGCCGUGGCUGGCUGGUGAGGUGCGGGCGUGGAGACGAAGCAGUGUGAGUGCUGCACCGUAGAGGGUGUGAGUCCCGUAGUCGUAUUAUGUUCCGCCGCUAGAUCGUAUGACCCGAGUAGCACGGGGCUCGUGGAAUCUCGUGUGAAUCUGCCAGGACCACCUGGUAAGCCUGAAUACUACCUGAUGACCGAUAGCGGAUCAGUACCGUGAGGGAAUGGUGAAAAGUACCCCGGGAGGGGAGUGAAAUAGUGCCUGAAACCAUGCGCUUACAAACCGUCAAAGCCCUUUAGGGGUGAUGGCGUGCCUUUUGAAGAAUGAGCCUGCGAGUUAGUGCUGUGUCGCGAGGUUAACCCGUGUGGGGUAGUCGUAGCGAAAGCGAGUCUGAAGAGGGCGUUUCAGUGGCACGGUCUAGACCCGAAGCGGGGUGAUCUACCCAUGGCCAGGUUGAAGCGUGUGUAAGAGCACGUGGAGGACCGAACCCACCUAGGUUGAAAACUGGGGGGAUGAGCUGUGGGUAGGGGUGAAAGGCCAAUCAAACUCCGUGAUAGCUGGUUCUCCCCGAAAUGCAUUUAGGUGCAGCGUUACGUGUUUCUUUACCGUGGUAGAGCUACUGGAUGGCUGAUGGGCCCUACAAGGUUACUGACGUCAACCAAACUCCGAAUGCGGUGAAGUGAGAGCGUAGCAGUGAGACUGUGAGGGAUAAGCUUCAUGAGUCGAGAGGGAAACAGCCCAGAACAUCAGCUAAGGCCCCUAAGCGUGUGCUAAGUGGGAAAGGAUGUGGAGUUGCUGAGACAACCAGGAGGUUGGCUUAGAAGCAGCCACCCUUGAAAGAGUGCGUAAUAGCUCACUGGUCAAGUGAUUCCGCGCCGACAAUGUAGCGGGGCUCAAGUACACCGCCGAAGCUGUGUCACUCCAUACUUUUGUGUGGGGUGGGUAGGGGAGCGUCGGGCAUGUGGUGAAGCCUGGGUGGAAACCAUCAGGUGGAGCGUGUUCGAGUGAGAAUGCAGGCAUGAGUAGCGAAUGGCGGGUGAGAAACCCGUCCGCCGAAUGAUCAAGGGUUCCAGGGUCAAGUUUUUCUUCCCUGGGUGAGUCGGGACCUAAGGCGAGGCCGACAGGCGUAGUCGAUGGACAACGGGUUGAUAUUCCCGUACCGGCGAAGAACCGUCCAUAUCGAAGCGAUGAUGCUAACCACCCCAACCACACCAGACCAGCCACUUUGUGGCUAGAUGGUGUGUGCGGCGUGGGACCCGAUUCGUGGAGGUAAACGUAGUAACAGGUGUGACGCAGAGAGGUAGCCGGGCCAGGCAAUGGAAUCGACCUGGUCUAAGAGUGUAGGCCGGUGUAUAGGCAAAUCCGUACACCAUAAUGGCUGAGACUUGAUGGGCGCCCACUAUGGGUGGGUGAUCCGGUGAUCCUGUACUGCCGAGAAAAGCAUCGACGUGAGGUUCUAGCUGCCCGUACCCGAAACCGACACAGGUGAUCUGGUAGAGAAUACCGAGGCGAUCGAGAGAAUCAUGGUUAAGGAACUCGGCAAAAUGCCCCCGUAACUUCGGAAGAAGGGGGGCCUGCCUCGUGACCCCCACAUGCUGGGGUGAGCGGGUGUGGGCCGCAGAGACCAGAGGGAAGCGACUGUUUACUAAAAACACAGGUCCGUGCGAAGUCGCAAGACGAUGUAUACGGACUGACUCCUGCCCGGUGCUGGAAGGUUAAGAGGACCUGUUAGAACAUUCGUGUUCGAAGCGGAGAAUUUAAGCCCCAGUAAACGGCGGUGGUAACUAUAACCAUCCUAAGGUAGCGAAAUUCCUUGUCGGGUAAGUUCCGACCUGCACGAAUGGAGCAACGACUUCCCUGCUGUCUCAACCAUGAACUCGGCGAAAUUGCAGUACGAGUAAAGAUGCUCGUUACGCGCAGAAGGACGGAAAGACCCCGUGACCUUUACUAUAGUUUGGUAUUGGUGUUCGGUGCGGUUUGUGUAGGAUAGGUGGGAGACUGUGAAGCAGCCACGCCAGUGGUUGUGGAGUCAUUGUUGAAAUACCACUCUGAUCGUAUCGGAUGUCUAACCUCGGCCCGUGAUCCGGGUCAGGGACAGUGCCUGAUGGGUAGUUUAACUGGGGCGGUUGCCUCCUAAAUGGUAACGGAGGCGCCCAAAGGUUCCCUCAGCCUGGUUGGCAAUCAGGUGUCGAGUGUAAGUGCACAAGGGAGCUUGACUGCGAGACUGACAGGUCAAGCAGGGACGAAAGUCGGGACUAGUGAUCCGGCAGUGGCUUGUGGAAGCGCUGUCGCUCAACGGAUAAAAGGUACCUCGGGGAUAACAGGCUGAUCUUGCCCAAGAGUCCAUAUCGACGGCAUGGUUUGGCACCUCGAUGUCGGCUCGUCGCAUCCUGGGGCUGGAGUCGGUCCCAAGGGUUGGGCUGUUCGCCCAUUAAAGCGGCACGCGAGCUGGGUUUAGAACGUCGUGAGACAGUUCGGUCCCUAUCCUCUGCGCGCGUAGGAAAUGUGAGAAGGGCUGUCCCUAGUACGAGAGGACCGGGACGGACGAACCUCUGGUAUGUCAGUUGUACCGCCAGGUGCACCGCUGAUUAGCUACGUUCGGGAAGGAUAACCGCUGAAAGCAUCUAAGCGGGAAGCCUGCUUCAAGAUAACAUUUCCAACCAAACAUUGCUUUGGGAGAGGCCCCCAGCUAGACCACUGGGUUGAUAGGCAGGAAGUGUACGCACGGACCAUAGACGUGUUCAGCUGACCUGUACUAAUAGGCCGAUCACUUACACAC
rnacentral:rRNA from 1 species